rnacentral:tRNA from 1 species
AUUAAUAUAAGCUUUUAUUUUAAGUGAUUCGUUGUUAACGAAUUGAAUAAUUAUUAAUU